GCCGGAACUGACGAGGAAGUAGGCCUGAAAAAGAGGGCCUACCUUAUAGAAUGCUUAUAAAAGUGGUGUGGUGGGUGGGACAAUUCGCCAGACCCAACAGGUAAUGAGGGAAGGGUUGAUGCUCCUUAAGAAGGGGAACCAAGCCCCUCCCACAACUUCAGGCCACGCCUUCCAUUUGUGGUCAUGGCAUAAGCCGUAGUAUUAUUGAU